rnacentral:rRNA from 1 species
ACGGAAGGCAGCAGUGGGGGAUAUUGCACAAUGGGGGAAACCCUGAUGCAGCGACGCCGCGUGAGUGAAGAAGUAUUUCGGUAUGUAAAGCUCUAUCAGCAGGAAAGAUAAUGACGGUACCUGACUAAGAAGCACCGGCUAAAUACGUGCCAGCAGCCGCGGUAAUACGUAUGGUGCAAGCGUUAUCCGGAUUUACUGGGUGUAAAGGGAGCGCAGACGGCAUGGCAAGCCAGAUGUGAAAUGCGGGGGCUCAGCUCCUGAACUGCAUUUGGGACUGUCAAGCUAGAGUAUCGGAGAGGUAAGUGGAAUUCCUAGUGUAGCGGUGAAAUGCGUAGAUAUUAGGAGGAACACCAGUGGCGAAGGCGGCUUACUGGACGAUAACUGACGUUGAGGCUCGAAAGCGUGGGGAGCAAACAGGAUUAGAUACCCUGGUA